GAUGAACGCUGGCGGCGUGCCUAAUACAUGCAAGUCGAGCGAACAGACGAGGAGCUUUCUCCUUCGACGUUAGCGGCUGACGGGUGAGUAACACGUAGGUAACCUACCUAUAAGACUGGGAUAACUUCGUGAAACCGGAUCUAAUACCGGAUAAUAUUUCGAACCGCAUGGUUCGAUAGUGAAAGAUGGCUUUGCUUUCACUUAUAGAUGGUCCUGCGCCGUAUUAGCUAGUUGGUAAGGUAACGGCUUACCAAGGCAACGAUACGUAGCCGACCUGAGAGGGUGAUCGGCCAGACUGGAACUGAGACACGGUACAGACGACUACGGGAGGCAGCAGUAGGGAAUAUUGCGCAAUGGGCGAAAGCAUGACGGAGCAACGCCGCGUGAGUGAUGAAGGUCUUCGGAUCGUAAAACUCUGUUAUUAGGGAAGAAAAAAAGUGUAAGUAACUGUGCACGUCUUGACGGUACCUAAACAGAAAGCAACGGCUAACUACGUG
rnacentral:rRNA from 1 species